rnacentral:rRNA from 1 species
GAUGAACGCUGGCGGCGUGCCUAAUACAUGCAAGUCGAACGAAACUUCUUUAUCACCGAGUGCUUGCGCUCACCGAUAAAGAGUUGAGUGGCGAACGGGUGAGUAACACGUGGGCAACCUGCCCAAAAGAGGGGGAUAACACUUGGAAACAGGUGCUAAUACCGCAUAACCAUAGUUACCGCAUGGUAACUAUGUAAAAGGUGGCUAUACUACCGCUUUUGGAUGGGCCCGCGGCGCAUUAGCUAGUUGGUAGGGUAAAGGCUUACCAAGGCAAUGAUGCGUAGCCGAAUUGAGAGGUUGAUCGGCCACAUUGGGACUGAGACACGGCCCAAACUCCUACGGGAGGCGGCAGUAGGGAAUCUUCCACAAUGGGCGAAAGCCUGAUGGAGCAACGCCGCGUGGGUGAAGAAGGUCUUCGGAUCGUAAAACCCUGUUGUUAGAGAAGAAAGUGCGUGAGAGUAACUGUUCACGUUUCGACGGUAUCUAACCAGAAAGCCACGGCUAACUACGUG